rnacentral:rRNA from 1 species
UCCUAUGGAUUGUAAACUGCUUUUAUACGAGAAGAAACACUCCUUCGUGAAGGAGCUUGACGGUAUCGUAAGAAUAAGGAUCGGCUAACUCCGUGCCAGCAGCCGCGGUAAUACGGAGGAUCCAAGCGUUAUCCGGAAUCAUUGGGUUUAAAGGGUCCGUAGGCGGUUUAAUAAGUCAGUGGUGAAAGCCCAUCGCUCAACGGUGGAACGGCCAUUGAUACUGUUAAACUUGAAUUAUUAGGAAGUAACUAGAAUAUGUAGUGUAGCGGUGAAAUGCUUAGAGAUUACAUGGAAUACCAAUUGCGAAGGCAGGUUACUACUAAUGGAUUGACGCUGAUGGACGAAAGCGUGGGUAGCGAACAGGAUUAGAUACCCUGGUAGUCCACGCCGUAAACGAUGGAUACUAGCUGUUGGGAGCAAUUUCAGUGGCUAAGCGAAAGUGAUA